rnacentral:rRNA from 1 species
CACGGCGCACGGGUGCGUAACACGUGGGUAAUCUGCCCUUCGAUGGGGAAUAACUCGCCGAAAGGCGAGCUAAUUCCGCAUAACAUUCCUUGGACUCCGGUUCGAGGAUUCAAAGGCGUAAGUCGUCGGAGGAGGAGCCCGCGCACGAUUAGCUAGUUGGUGAGGUAAUGGCUCACCAAGGCUAUGAUCGUUAGCUGGUCUGAGAGGAUGGCCAGCCACACUGGAACUGAGACACGGUCCAGACUCCUACGGGAGGCAGCAGUGGGGAAUCUUGCACAAUGGGGGAAACCCUGAUGCAGCGACGCCGCGUGAGCGAUGAAGCCCCUCGGGGUGUAAAGCUCUUUCGGCAGGGAAGAUUAUGACGGUACCUGCAAAAGCAGCUGCGGCUAACUACGUGCCAGCAGCCGCGGUAAUACGUAGGCAGCAAGCGUUGUUCGGAGUUACUGGGCGUAAAGGGUGCGUAGGCGGCUUUUUAAGUUUGGUGUGAAAUCUCCCGGCUCAACUGGGAGGGUGCGCCGAAUACUGAGAGGCUAGAGUGUGGGAGAGGAAAGUGGAAUUCCUGGUGUAGCGGUGAAAUGCGUAGAUAUCAGGAGGAACACCGGUGGUGUAAACGGCUUUCUGGACCAUAACUGACGCUGAGGCACGAAAGCGUGGGUAGCAAACAGGAUUAGAUACCCUGGUAGUCCACGCCCUAAACGAUGCAUAUUUGGUGUGGGCCAUUCAUUUGGUCUGUGCCGGAGCUAACGCGUUAAAUAUGCCGCCUGGGGAGUACAGUCGCAAGGCUGAAACUCAAAGGAAUUGACGGGGGCCCGCACAAGCGGUGGAACAUGUGGUUCAAUUCGA